CCGGCUAGUGAGCGGGCGACGGUAUGCGGGGUCGGUGUGGGAUCCUCAGCGUGGUCAGGCGGAGGUUGGCCGUUUUUCUCACACGUCGCCUGCCCGCGAGGGGCUCGGGCCGGGGCGGACUUCCCUGGUGGUGCAGUGGUUAAGAAUCCGCCUGCCAAUGCAGGGAACGCGGGUUCGAGCCCUGGUCCGGGAAGAUCCCACAUGCCGCGGAGCAACUAAGCCCGUGCGCCACAACUACUGAGCCUGCGCUCUAGAGCCAGCGAGCCACAACUACUUGAGCUCACGUGCCACAACUAUUGAAGCCUGUGCACCUAGAGCCCGUGCUCGCAACAAGAGAAGCCACCUCAAUGAGAAGCCUGCACACCACAACGAAGAGUAGUCCCUGCUCAGCAACGAAGACCCAAUGCAGUCAAAAAUAAAUAAAUUUAUUUAAAAAAAGAAA